rnacentral:lncRNA from 13 species
AUGGACUCCAAAUACCCAAAUCUGAUGAGACCUCAGAAGAAGCGCCGGUACUUCUCCAUUAAAACGAGCGCAUCAACCAUGAAGGGAAAUGCCGAACUGGACAUUGAUGACUCCAAUACUUGGUUCAAAAACUUGGAUUCUUCCUCUGAUGUUGGGGAAGAGCUUCCCCCUCUGCCUCCCUCUCCGACCUUCACCCCUGUAGAGAAGGAGGAGAAGACUGGUAACCCUGUAGAGAAGGAGGAGAAGACUGGUAACCCUGUAGAGAAGGAGAGGAGAGAACCAUCAUCAGUUCCAGAGACUGGUGAAGCGGUGCCCCAAGGAGAAGAGAUGCACGAGGAGGGGAGAGCAGAGAGCACUUUGCUGGAUACUGAGAGCCCAUUUAAAAAGCACGCUCCCAUCAAGACCUCCAGCCCCAAGAAGCGGCAGGAGGGGGAUGAGGACAAGGACAGAACAGCCUCUCCAUUGCUCUUGAUCUGUGAUGAUGAUGAUGAUGAUGAUGAUGAAGAUGACUACGGCCCUGUAAAGCAGCCUAUCACUGCCCUGACACCACAGUGCAACGGACAGGCAGCAGACGGGGGAUAUGAUGCAGUGCUGGACUCUCCUCCCUGUCGGUUUUCUGUCGGCAAGCAAAAGACGCCAUCUCGCAGUAUGCCGAAGAAGGAAGAGACACCUUGGAAGUUGACUCUGUCCCUGUGCAGCAUAGAGACAGAGCCAGAAGAGCCUCCCCAAACAAGCCCGUGUCCAGCAGUAGAACCCAAAGAACAACCAGUACCAGGGAAGACGAGUCUGGCCCAACCUUCAGAGAAGAAGAGUCUGGCCCAACCUUCAGAGAAGAAGAGUCUGGCCCAACCUUCAGAGAAGAAGAGUCUGGCCCAACCUUCAGAGAAGAAGAGUCUGGCCCAACCUUCAGAGAAGAAGAGUCUGGCCCAACCUUCAGAGAAGAAGAGUCUGGACCAGCCCUCAGAGAAGAAGAGUCUGGCCCAGCCCUCAGAGAAGAAGAGNNNNNNNNNNUGUUUGUUUGCUUGGACUUUUCCAAUUUAUUGUUUUAAUUUAAAGUGUGUUGGGAUUUUAUAUGCACUUUAAGUGAAGUUUGAUAUGAGACAUUUAAAGUACAGAGCCUUCAGGACGUAUUCCUACCCUUUUGACUUAUUUUGUUGUGUUACAGCCUGAGUUCAGAAUGGAUCCAAAUAAAGUCACCCAUCUACACACAGUACUCCUUAAUGACAAAGUGAAAAUAUGUUUUUCCAAACGUUUGCUAAUUUAUUGAAAAUGUAAUGCAGAAAUAUAUAAUUUACCUAUGUAUUCCCCCCCCCUCUUGAGUCAAUACUUUCUAUAAGCACUUUUGGCAAAUAUUACAGCAGUCUUUCUGAGUAUGCCUCUAAAAGCUUGCACACCAGGAUUGUGCAACAUUUUCCCAUUUUUCUUUUCAAAAUUCUUGAAGCUCUGUCAAAUUGGUUAUUGAUCUUUNNNNNNNNNNCCAGCCCUCAGAGAAGAAGAGUCUGGCCCAGCCCUCAGAGAAGAAGAGUCUGGCCCAGCCCUCAGAGAAGAAGAGUCUGGCCCAGCCCUCAGAGAAGAAGAGUCUGGCCCAGCCCUCAGAGAAGAAGAGUCUGGCCCAGCCCUCAGAGAAGAAGAGUCUGGCCCAGCCCUCAGAGAAGAAGAGUCUGGCCCAGCCCUCAGAGAAGAAGAGUCUGGCCCAGCCCUCAGAGAAGAAGAGUCUGGCCCAGCCCUCAGAGAAGAAGAGUCUGGCCCAGCCCUCAGAGAAGGAGAGUCUGGCCCAGCCCUCAGAGAAGGAGAGUCUGGCCCAGCCCUCAGAGAAGGAGAGUCUGGCCCAGCCCUCAGAGAAGAAGAGUCUGGCCCAGCCCUCAGAGAAGAAGAGUCUGGCCCAACCACCAGAGAAGGAGGCAACACCGGAAAGGAAAGCCACAUCCUCCUUCCUCCAGAAGCUGAGAGAGGCUGGUCAGUCCAAGCCUGCCUGGUGAGUCCACAUCUAUUGUCUUCAUUUAACUGAAUGAAUGGUUAGAACUGCCCUGUGUACAAUAUCCACAGAAGUGGCCCUCCCUGUUUCUACACCCAAAGGCCCAACAUCACGAGACUUCCGGGAACGCUUGCGAAGCAUACCAGGCUGGAGUUUGGGAUUUGACUUCUCAAAUCCCAAUGAGAGAAGUGAAAUAUUCUUCCAUCGUUGUUAAUUGUCUCUGAAAAAUAAAGGCACAACCUAGAUUUGAGCCAAUGUCUUAAGUAGUUGAACAUGUAACUAAUAUGUCGUGUCUUUGGCAUUAAAGUGAAGACUGUUAUGUUAUCAAAUCAAUUCUCUGUAAUUAUUAUUACGUGAUUAAUCUAAUCAUGUAAAUGUAAUUAACUAGGAAGUCGGGCACCAAGGAAAAUCUUCAGAUUACAAAGUUAUAAUUUUCCGAAUUGAACUCUUCAGAUAUUUUAAUAUCUGAUCAAUUAGUCUUCUAAUUAAUGAAUUAUUCUUUAACUCACGUUAGUCUCAUUCCAAACAUCAUAAAUUGUUUAUCUGCACGAACCCAGUCUUCACUAUGAAUCAUCCAUACAUCAAAUGUCAUAAUCAUUUAUUUAUUAACUAAAUAAUCACAGAAAUGCAUAAGCAAACAAACAGUCGAUAUGAAGACUAGUAAUUCGUAUCUAAGAUUUGCUCUUAUUCUGUAGGGAUCGAUAGUCUCAGAGUUCAACCAUUUCCAGCCGUGUAGCCAAUGCUACAUAAGUUUAAUGCUAGCUAGCAACUUACCUUACUGCAUUACUUACUUACCUUACUGCAUUCGCGUAACAGGCAGUCUCCUCGUGGAGUGCAAUGAGAGGCAGGUGGUUGGAGCGUUGGACAAGUUAACUGUAAGGUUGCAAGAUUGAAUCCCCCGAGCUGACAAGGUGAAAAUCUGUCAUUCUGCCCCUGAGCGAGGCAGUUAACCCACCGUUCCUAGGCCGUCAUUGAAAAUAAGAAUGUGUUCUUAACUGACUUGCCUGGUUAAAUAAAGAUUAAAUAAAGGUGUAAAAAAAACAAAGGGGUCGACCUCUAAUCGUCAUGUGUGUUUCCUGUCCUCUCUGAAGUCACCAAAUGAAACACACUCAUCAUACCCAUCCAUUCCAAGGUGGGAAGUGUCCACGGACCCUUCCCACCUUCUCACAAGUUCAGCCCUAGGAAAGGGUUAAUGCUGUGUUUCUGU